rnacentral:rRNA from 1 species
AGUGAACGCUGGCGGUAGGCCUAACACAUGCAAGUCGAACGGCAGCACAGUAAGAGCUUGCUCUUACGGGUGGCGAGUGGCGGACGGGUGAGGAAUACAUCGGAAUCUACUUUUUCGUGGGGGAUAACGUAGGGAAACUUACGCUAAUACCGCAUACGACCUACGGGUGAAAGCAGGGGAUCUUCGGACCUUGCGCGAUUGAAUGAGCCGAUGUCGGAUUAGCUAGUUGGCGGGGUAAGGGCCCACCAAGGCGACGAUCCGUAGCUGGUCUGAGAGGAUGAUCAGCCACACCGGAACUGAGACACGGUCCAGACUCCUACGGGAGGCAGCAGUGGGGAAUAUUGGACAAUGGGCGCAAGCCUGAUCCAGCCAUACCGCGUGGGUGAAGAAGGCCUUCGGGUUGUAAAGCCCUUUUGUUGGGAAAGAAAAGCAGCAGGUUAAUACCCCGCUGUUCUGACGGUACCCAAAGAAUAAGCACCGGCUAACUUCGUG